AAUUGGAAACCCUUCAAUUGUCCAUCUUGUUUUGUGUACUUUCUCUAUAAACUGUUAAUCAUCAUCAACUAGAAAAUUUUUCAUCUUUUUCAACAAUGGCUUCACUCACUAACAUGGAUUAGAUAAACAUGAAAAUCUCUUUUCAACUUCCGUGGAUUUUGGAUCAAGCACCAGGACAGUACAGAUUCCCUCAGAUGACCUAGAGAAAUGGCAUGGUAGAAAUUUUGCUGUGCGAGUUGACAUCGCUGAUCGGAUUGUACUUGUCAUAGAUCAAGAUACAAAUCUGAUGUUGCUUGUGGUGUGAUUUUUAGGUUAACGUCUCACAGUGUACAACUCAAAUUGUAAUUACACCUUGGUGGCCUUAAUCAUCCAAUCAAAUUUAUAUAUUGUCAGGGAUUUAUGGUAAUUUUGAUUGUCAUGAAUCUCAAUUUAUUGAUUCACAAGAAAGUGAUGGUAAAAUGAGAAAAGCAAAAGUGAAUUCUGCAAUGUAUCAUCUUCCUGAGAAGAUGAGUUUAAACGGGAAAAUCCUGAAAGAUCAGUGAUAAUAUUUGACAUAUAUCCGACAAAGUAUGAUAUUAGUUGGCUCUAUUAGCUUGAGUUAUUUUCAUCAUGAAAUAGUCUUUUCAUUUCAUUCAAAAUAUGCUUUUCUCUUCCCCCUGUUGUACGCCAUCUUUGUAUCAUAAAAAAUUUUUAUUUCUCUCUAAUCUACUCAGAAAAGCUUCAUCAAACGGUACGUCCAUUACAGCAGACGCAAUAAUGGACGCAUGAUAAUAACAAGAAUAAUUUCAUCUUCUUCUCACUGAAUAACAAAUACAUAGUAAAGACAAGAAUUAAAUGAUAAUUUGAAUGAAAAGAUUUUCCCGUAACAUGGUCAACCUAAAUCUAACAUUCAUUUUCCUUGGACUCUUGGUUUCACCAACAUCUACGCAUUAUUUUGGUGUUAAAUUCAACAACAUAACAAAAAAAGUACCACAAGAGCAAGCGAAACCUCAACAACAUUCCAAGAGCAAAAGCAACCCCUCUAUUAACAUGGCAUCGAUCAAAGCAAAGUCUUUCUAAUGAUCUGUUGGAAAAAAUUCACGCACAUUUCAAGCCAUUCAUUCUUCCCUAACAUUUUCCAGGUUCACAACUUGGAUCAUGUAUUAACAACAUUAGAUGCAAUAUGGUGGUUAAAACAAAGAAUCGGCUCAAACUGUAUUCAAAUCAUUAAUCGAUUACAAACUAAUAAGGAAAGUGAUCGUGAAAAAUGGUUGAUUAAUUCCUCUUUUAACCACAUUACUUAUUGACCUUUGAUGACCUUACUAGCAGCUGAGAUGGUUUUGAUAAUCAUGUUACCCGCAAUGAACAGAAAAUCACAAUAAUCAAUUAAUUUACAAUUGCCACGAUCGACAUCCCAUCAAUCCAAAGACAUUCACAAUUGGUUUAAUCGUUCAAUUCCUAAUGCUCUUUGAUACCUAAAUGAAGACCUAAAUUUUUUGAAAAAAUUGACUUUAUCCGCAUUCGUUGAUUGACAAAUUUAAAGUCGAUGAACUAAUGAAAUUGUUAAUUUAUUCAUAGUUUAGGUUAAUCAGCCUUAGGUUAUCAUUAAAGUUGUCAUCAAAAUUUUCUCAUUGAACAGUUAACCAUAAUCAUUCACAAUUAACUGUUUCCUUGUAAAAGUAAACCUUAUUUUGCUAAUCAAUAAUCCAAAAUGAAAAGCAGUAGCUCAAUAACAGCUUGUAAAAGUUGACCAGAAUUGUUUCAUUAACAAUCAUUACCAAUCUAAUUACAACCAUUUUUGAUUUUAACCUUAACUUAAUCAAGUUAAUUAUGCAAAGGUUAAACCUUUGACUUGAAGAAAAAAGUAAACUCUCAAUCAAAAUGGAAACAAUGAAUGUAACAAUUAAAUCAGUCAGUUUUCAAUAAAGAAACUGAUUGGCAAUUUUA